UACGUAGGGUGCGAGCGUUAAUCGGAAUUACUGGGCGUAAAGCGUGCGCAGGCGGUAAGUUAAGUCUGACGUGAAAGCCCCGGGCUCAACCUGGGAAUGGCGAUGGAUACUGGCUCGCUAGAGUGCGGUAGAGGAGAGUGGAAUUCCCGGUGUAGCAGUGAAAUGCGUAGAGAUCGGGAGGAACAUCAGUUGCGAAGGCGGCUCUCUGGACCAGCACUGACACUGAGGCACGAAAGCGUGGGGAGCAAACGGG
rnacentral:rRNA from 1 species